AACUGCCAGAGACCAACUACCAACUGCCAGAGAGAGUAAUUGACACAGAAAAAUGGUUAUAACUGUCAACAAUUGACAUUAACAUGCUCUCUCACCUCUGCUUCAAACUCCAAUUCUUUUUCAAGCCAGCCACUCUACCUCUAGACUAAUAAAUUAAUAAUUAUUUUCUAAUAUCAUCCUUAUAUAUCCAAAAGGUCCCAUGACUCCUGGUCUCUGGAGGACCCUUGGUUCUUGCCCAGAGUGACUGGAGGGGCUUUGGAAAGUGGCAUCACUAAAAGCAUAAAUUUGAGUCCUGAGAGGAAAAGGGGCAUUUUUUCCUGGGAAUCCAGAGGGAGAAGAUGAGAAAGCCGAAACCUGGAAAAAUCAAAGGACUUUCCUCAGUCUCUACUCAGUUCUACAGAGCUGCGACUUGGACUUGGGUCUCCUGACUUCCAGUUCUAUAUUUUCCAUCACAUACUAUUUGACUUCAGCCCUGAAUGUUUUUCAGAGUCCUUGUCAAGAAUGUUUCAGCCAAACCACACAGAAAUGAAACAAGAAGCCAACUUUGAAGGAUCAGAGAAAUUUUUGGAGGACUUUUGAUAUCUUUAACAACACUUGCUUCAGUUGAUCUGAUUGGAACCAAUUCAAAUGAACUGUGAGAUCUAAAAGUGGAAUGCCUUAAAAGAAGUUUUGUUAAUGCUUUUUGUUUUGGACACCACAGUAAUUUCCUGAUAUUUCUCCAUCCUCCCAGCCCCAAGGGAUGCUGGGAUGGCAUCUGACCACUUUUGCAGCACUUUGGAACCUCCAUUCCUGAGGAGUAGGAGUGUCGAGGGUACAUGUCAGUGAAUGUAACUGAUGACUUGUUCUCCAGAAUAAGAUGGAUCAUUACAUUUAAGAGUUCUGCUAUUAAAGGUUGUUUUUAUUUA